rnacentral:rRNA from 1 species
GAUGAACGCUGGCGGCGUGCCUAAUACAUGCAAGUCGAGCGAACGGACGAGAAGCUUGCUUCUCUGAUGUUAGCGGCGGACGGGUGAGUAACACGUGGAUAACCUACCUAUAAGACUGGGAUAACUUCGGGAAACCGGAGCUAAUACCGGAUGAUAUUUUGAACCGCAUGGUUCAAAAGUGAAAGACGGUCUUGCUGUCACUUAUAGAUGGAUCCGCGCUGCAUUAGCUAGUUGGUAAGGUAACGGCUUACCAAGGCAACGAUGCAUAGCCGACCUGAGCGGGUGAUCGGCCACACUGGAACUGAGACACGGUCCAGACUCCUACGGGAGGCAGCAGUAGGGAAUCUUCCGCAAUGGGCGAAAGCCUGACAGAGCAACGCCGCGUGAGGGAUGAAGGUCUUCGGAGCGUAAAACUCUUUUAUUAGGGAAGAAAAUAUGUGGAAUUAACUGUGCACAUCUUGACGGUACCGAAUCAGAAAGCCACGGCUAACUACGUG